UACGGGGGGGGCAAGCGUUGUUCGGAAUUACUGGGCGUAAAGGGCGCGUAGGCGGCCUGCUAAGUCGGAUGUGAAAUCCCUCGGCUCAACCGAGGAACUGCAUCCGAUACUGGCGGGCUUGAAUCCGGGAGAGGGAUGUGGAAUUCCAGGUGUAGCGGUGAAAUGCGUAGAUAUCUGGAGGAAUACCGGUGGCGAAGGCGGCAUCCUGGACCAUAACUGACGCUUAAGCGCGAAAGCUAGGGGAGCAAACGGG
rnacentral:rRNA from 1 species